rnacentral:lncRNA from 1 species
CCCAGGCAAACCAGACAAGCUGGUCACCCCUAGGGAAACUCCCAUUACUCACCAUUCUCCUUUCGGCUUCCUCAGACUUGCAGCUCACAGGCUAUCCUCAGAGUUCUCUAGGACUGAGCUUCUACUUUGAUUUUCACAAACAUCUAUUUAUGUAACCUGCCCCUCCACUGGACACAAGGGCGGAGAGAUGUCUCAAUCAUUUUUAUGUUCCAACCUCUGGCUUAGAAGAGCUUGCUGAACUGAGAUAGCCAAACAACUGAGUUGAUCUUCUGCUGAAUGUCAACUGAAUGGGGACUGUGAUACCCUCAGGUGGGGUCCAAUCUGGGAUGCAAGUGGAAGCUUAAAGAAAACGUAACUUGUGUAUGCCUCAGACUAGGACAUAAGAACUACCCACCCCCUACACCCCAACCAGCCUAUGGCAG